rnacentral:rRNA from 1 species
AUUGAACGCUGGCGGCAUGCUUUACACAUGCAAGUCGAACGCGGGUGUUGGGGCAACCUGGCACCUGAGUGGCGGACGGGUGAGUAAUACAUCGGAACGUAUCCUGUAGUGGGGGACAACCCAGCGAAAGUUGGGCUAAUACCGCAUACGCUCUUAGGAGGAAAGUGGGGGACCUCGAGGGAAACUGAGGGGCCUCAUGCUAGAGGGGCGGCCGAUGUCCGAUUAGCUAGUUGGUGGGGAAAGGCCUACCAAGGCGACGAUCGGUAGCUGGUCUGAGAGGAUGAUCAGCCACACUGGGACUGAGACACGGCCCAGACUCCUACGGGAGCAGCAGUGGGGAAUUUGGACAAUGGGGGCAACCCUGAUCCAGCCAUGCCGCGUGCGGGAAGAAGGCCU